GGAAUCUUGGGCAAUGGGCGCAAGCCUGACCCAGCGACGCCGCGUGAGGGAUGAAGGCCUUCGGGUCGUAAACCUCUGUCAGGAGGGAAGAACGGCAGUGGGGUGAACAAUCCCGUUGUCUGACGGUACCCCCGAAGGAAGCGCCGGCUAACUCCGUGCCCGCAGCCGCGGUAAUACGGAGGGCGCAAGCGUUGUUCGGAAUCACUGGGCGUAAAGCGCGUGUAGGCGGCCUGGCAAGUCGGGUGUGAAAUCCCGAGGCUCAACCUCGGAACUGCACUCGAAACUGCUUGGCUCGAGUCCCGGAGAGGGUGGCGGAAUUCCCGGUGUAGGGGUGAAGUCCGUAGAUAUCGGGAGGAACACCAGUGGCGAAGGCGGCCACCUGGACGGUGACUGACGCUGAGACGCGAAAGCGUGGGGAGCAAAC
rnacentral:rRNA from 1 species